AUUGAACGCUGGCGGCAUGCUUUACACAUGCAAGUCGAACGGCAGCAUGGGCUUCGGCCUGAUGGCGAGUGGCGAACGGGUGAGUAAUGCAUCGGAACGUGCCGUGUAAUGGGGGAUAACAUAGCGAAAGUUGUGCUAAUACCGCAUACGUCCUACGGGAGAAAGCAGGGGAUCUUCGGACCUUGCGUUAUACGAGCGGCCGAUGUCCGAUUAGCUAGUUGGUGUGGUAAAGGCUCACCAAGGCGACGAUCGGUAGCGGGUCUGAGAGGACGAUCCGCCACACUGGAACUGAGACACGGUCCAGACUCCUACGGGAGGCAGCAGUGGGGAAUUUUGGACAAUGGGCGAAAGCCUGAUCCAGCAAUGCCGCGUGAGUGAAGAAGGCCCUUGGGUUGUAAAGCUCUUUCGUUUGGGAAGAAGGAAGUGUGGCUAAUAUCCACGCUGACAGACGGUACCAAAAUAAGAAGCACCGGCUAACUACGUGCCAGCCGCCGCGGUAA
rnacentral:rRNA from 1 species